CCAGAGCUCUCCCUGCUGCAGUUUUCUAGUCGCAGUGCGGCAAAGCAGACGCCUAGAACCGGGCACGGAGCAGCAUAGCUUUUAUUAUUUUUUAUUGCAGAGAAACUGUCUCUUUUAAUGUACUGCACAUUUCUGUUUUUUUUAGAGUGCAGGAACAGCAGACCACCUGGGAUGUGGAUGUAGGCUUCUGACAUUAGCAGCGAUGUUGAACUGAGGCAGGCACUGCUCGGAGUCUUUUUUCCUAAAUGCCUCUGAUGGAGAAUGAUUCGCUUUCUGCCUUGCACGCGAACCGUUGCUUGUGCCACUGCGAUAGACACCUGCAAGAACAGGAGAAAGGAGAUGCUACUUGUCACUGCCUGGGGCCUUCCUUCUCUCCCCCUUCUCCUCUUUUUGUUUUUCCUCAGCUCUUCGCUCUUGAAGCCAUCUAAACAUCCCAGAGUAGUAUUUAGUCCUGGUUCUGUAGGUAGCCAAAGAUCAGUCAGAGCAAAAGCUCAAACCAGGCUCCCUGAUCCAGCUCAGUUCCAGUCCUUUUGGAUGGAUACAGGAGAGCAACCGACUAGCAGGGACACAACCAGCCAUCAAGUGGAGCCUCUCUGGGAUUGCAGUCGGUCCCGAGCGCUGCUGACUUCCUUUUACCUUCUCUUUUCCAUCAGCAGCUAUUAAUGGCUUUGGGGUCUCUGAAGUGUAUGUUUGUAUGGAUUAGCCUGUCACGAGGGCACUCCUUGUCCGCGUCAUGUUGGAAAUAGAGUGCUGAAGUCAGUCUGCUUUAACUGUGGUUUGUUUCUGCGUGGUGCUAUGCAGCUGGGAUGGGUUACACUGACAACCAAGGAAGGAUCGCCACAUACCCUGACUCCUGGGAUCUUUCAGGAAAAAUAUAACUCUUUCUCAGUAUAUUAUGCUUUUUGUCUUCUGCUUUUUCUUUUAUAUGCAGCUUUAGAUAUAAGUACCAAAUAUAUAUAGACUUAUAUAUACUAUAUAUAGUAUAUAUAGGUCUACUAGGCAUCUGUGUGGAUGUGAAUUUCAAAAUGCUGUGGGGUGGAGGGUAGAUAGUUUGUGGAGAACUGUGAUUUGAGGCAAGUUGCACCCGGUCUGCAUUCUUGCUGAUUUGAAAUACUCUGUUUUUGCGAAAAGGAAGCCCUAAGGGGCGAGUUCAGUAACUAAGAAAGCAAUUGCAGAUAAAAGAAAUAAAAAUGACAAGCAUAAUGGAGGCGCAGCAGAAGAAACUGUCAGUGAAAUCAGUGCCUGGAUGGUAAUCUUACCCAGUCUGAAUAAUUAUGAAUAAUUCAUAGAACAAAAUUACUUUGCUUUCACCUUUUCCACUUAAAAUGGCAUGAUAUGAAUCUCUAAUAAAUUUUCAAGAAAAAAAUAUAAUGCCAACUUGAAUCUGAAGAGCUUUUUACAACCAGAUGCUAUAUUCUGAUUCUUCCGGUAUCUUUCACAGUGAUUCUGUGAGAACCCUACUUAAUCACGAAGUACUGUUACGAAUGAAAAUUACAGUGAUUACAAUAGCAACAAUAGAGUGCCAUCAAAUGAUUUCUAAUAUACCUAAUUUUCUAAAGCUGGCUGCAUUGGUUUUCAUGAGCAAAUCUAAAUGCUUGGCUCCUUGGAUUUUAUAUCAGAAUGUGAUAAAAAAAAUGCUUGUUAAAUAUGCGUUGUGUUUAGUGCUUUUAUGGGGAAAAUGCAGCCUUAUAUUAAAAUGAUUAUAGCCAUAUAUUUGUUUUGCUAGCAUUCUUGAUGAUUGCAUUAUUUUCCUGUUCAUAGGAUGGUGUUUUGUUACAGAUUUGUUCAUACCAUAAUGUUCCAGGACUUAUACAACAGCAAAUUUAGCUGAAUAAUUUGUACAGCUAUAAAAGAAGAAAUUGCAGGAUGGAGAAACACUGUCAAACUGCAGAAUGUACAAGGUAAGUUUGGGAGGGGGUAAGGCAGGGGUGAAAUCCUCCCGGUUCGGACUGGAUUGGGCGAUCCAAUAGCGAUUGUGGCAGGUGGUUCGGAGAACCGGUAGUGAUGGCGGCGUGAGGCUCCUCCUACCUGCCCGGGUGUCCUGGUUUUAACCAGGAAGUAAUGUUUUUUUACCCUCUGUGCAUACACAGAAGGUUUUGCGCAUGCGCAGAGGGUCUGUGUGUGCAUGUGACACAUGCAUGCAUGGAGUGCGUGCACUUCCGAGCUGGUAAGGAAAGUAAGUAGAUUUCACCCCUGGGGUAAGGGGUAGAUGUUUUUUUUUUAUUAUUGAAAAGUUUUACAAAAAACAAAAAUUUUCUUCCCCCCCAUAUUCCCCCCACUCUUUCCCUCCCCUCAUCCCACCCUCCCCCCUGGGGGUAGAUGUUAUUGAAAGUUUGUUGAUACAAAACAAAAGGAAAAAAGGAAACCAAAACAACAAUAUUAAUUAUAAUUUAAAUGUUUAAAAUGUUGCAUACUCUCAUGGCUCUUUGCUGUAAUUGCAAAGGGUAUUCUGAAAAUUAAAUUCAUAAUUAUGCAUUUAGAGAACAUGAAGAUAGAUUGAUGUGGGCAGUUGUUAGAGUCAGCAAUGAAUGCCAUACAUGGGUUACCUAUAUACAUGUAAAUUGCUAUGCUUUGCCUGUAAAAUCGUUCAAAACCCAUUACUUCAGCUUUAGGCUAGAUGCGGACAAGAGGAGAGAAACAGGUAGCUUUCUGAAUUAGACUUUUCUCAGUAGUAACCAUUUCAGUAGCAUAAACACAAAUAGGAGUAACAACAGAGUUUUAUAUAGUCCUAUAUUUUUAUAGGAUUUCAAUUAAGUUACCACACUGUAAAAUGCUACUAAUUCAAGACAGUCAUGUAAGAUGAAAUAACAUGGACGGUUCCUAUAUAUGCCUAUAUUUUGCUACAUAUGUUCUUAUGUUCCUGUAUCAAUACCAGGCAGCCUAGCAAAUAGACAAUCAAUGAAGAAAAAAGAUGUGGUAUGAUUCGAUCCAGAAAAGAUGGGAGAGAGACGAAGGAUAUUGCUGGAUUAUAAUUAUAGAUGAUGGUAUAAUUAUGGUAAUCAAUAAGUAUUGGAAAUGUAAAUUUGUAUAUAAGAAUCUAUAAAUAUUUUCUAUUUUUACUUUCUGAUUAUUGGUGUAUAUAUACAUGGAUAUUUUGGUGAUGUUACACCGUGAUAAAAAAACUAUUAUACAUU